CAAGUCAAUUUUUUUUAUUGAUUUAAUCAAUACAAAAUUCACAUGACCAUUGGGUCCGAUUGCUAGUUUAUCAGUAGUGAAUAAUUCCAAACAUUUCCCGGAAUUACAGGCGUAACAGAUACAUAACACACAGGCAUUUUGUUUGAUGGUGCUAAGGAUACCUAGGGCACAAGGUGCGAGUCCCUCUACCCUCAUGUGCUGUGACGGAAUUCCUUUGCCUCUGAGGAGUAUCAAGGAUUCAAUGCACCUGAGUGAUGGAUGGAAAAAUUCACUGCACAGUGGAGGUGGUUGAGCUGGCAAUGAGCAUGGUAAUGGUUCUGAUGACCCUUGAAAAACCAAAUAAGUCUCCUUCAUCAGGACUGAUGGGCUGGAAUAAAUGGACACUAUUUAAAAUUUUAUGUAUGCUUUAUAUCCUUAUAAAUAAAUUGCUCUUUCCUAUAUGUAUUGUAUUUUGAUAAAUACAUUUGUAAUAAAAAUUCUCAUUAACUUUGUU